CAGCAGUGAGGAAUAUUGGUCAAUGGGAGAGAUCCUGAACCAGCCAAGCCGCGUGAGGGAAGACGGCCCUAUGGGUUGUAAACCUCUUUUGUCGGAGAACAAAACCCGGGACGAGUCCCGGACUGCGUGUAUCCGAAGAAAAAGCAUCGGCUAACUCCGUGCCAGCAGCCGCGGUAAUACGGAGGAUGCGAGCGUUAUCCGGAUUUAUUGGGUUUAAAGGGUGCGUAGGCGGUCCGUUAAGUCAGCGGUAAAAUUGCGGGGCUCAACCCCGUCGAGCCGUUGAAACUGGCAGACUUGAGUUGGCGAGAAGUACGCGGAAUGCGCGGUGUAGCGGUGAAAUGCAUAGAUAUCGCGCAGAACUCCGAUUGCGAAGGCAGCGUACCGGCGCCAGACUGACGCUGAGGCACGAAAGCGUGGGGAUCGAACAGGAUUAGAUACCCUGGUAGUCCACGCAGUAAACGAUGAAUGCUGGUUGUCCGGGUCGAAUGAGAUCUGG
rnacentral:rRNA from 1 species